ACGGGGGCGCGCCCAGGGGGGCCUCCAGGAAGCCCAAGUAUUCCAAGUUCACGCAGCAGGAGCUCCCGGCUUGCAAACCGAUUCUCACCCCAAAAUGGGUCAUUUCUGUGUUUAUUCUUGUUGGCGCCAUUUUUGUCCCCAUAGGCGUCGCUUCUUUGCUAUCUUCA